UUUAAUGAUCAACCAUGUUUUUUAUCGUUUUUUAGAUUCGGUUUUCUUUUGGUUUCUAUUUUUCUUUCUUUUCUUUUUCUUUUUUCGAGAUUCUUCGUCCGCUUGUUGAUGAAUAAUUAUUAAUUAUUAAUUUUUUUCUUCAAAUUUUCUUUGGUUUUUAUAACUAUAAUACAAUAGGCUAUUUGUUUUUUUUUAUUAUUUUUUUUUUCUUUAUCGUAGGUACAGUAUAUGUAUAUUAUUUGUAUAGUAGAUUUCGUAAUAUUACAGGGGUUUUAUCACAGAGUUUUUUUUUUUAUUUUUUUUUUUUUUUUUUACUUUUUUUACGUUUUUUCAUUUUCUUUUUGGGAGAUAUAUUUACGCUACAGUAUAAAGAGCUUAGAAGGUACGAUAAAAUUAGUCGGGAAGAUUCAAGGUACAUAGCACGAUACCUAGAUAGGUAGAUAGGUGUACACUUAAUUAAAUUUUCUUUUCUCUUUGUUUUUUUUGUCCAUUUUU
rnacentral:misc_RNA from 1 species